AGAAGUCGUAACAAGGUUUCUGUAGGUGAACCUGUGGAAGGAUCAUUAUCGAGGCCCAAACGGAUAAUCACGAAUCCGUCAACCUCCCGUAGAGGCAGAGGUAUGACAGCAUCUGCCCAUCUAACCCUACCACCCCGGGGCACCCAUGGCUACCCCCCAUCCCACCUCGUUGCAAGACGGGCGGUGGGAACAGUACCCAGCUCAGUGGGCACCAGGGAACAUUCACAGUCAGAGAGCGCCAUAAGCCGGUUCCAGCGCGCGAUGCAAUCCUUCCAUACGAACUUUUAUGACUCCCGGUAACGGAUAUCUUGACUCUCGCAUCGAUGAAGAACAUAACAAAAUGUGAUACUUUGUGUGAAUUACAAAAUCCUGUGAACCAUCGAGUCUUUGAAUGCAAGUUGCACCCGAGGCUAUCCGGCCGAGGGCACGCCUACCUGGGCAUCAUGCUUUGUGUCAUUCUACACACCGUGAGCCAUCCUCCGAGCAGGGGCAAUGGCAGGCACAGAUGCAGAGAUUGGCCCCCAUGACUUGCGGCGCGGCGGUCCGAAGUGUAGGCUGCCGGCCGGAAAUGAAUGCGGUGAGUGCUGGAUGGACACGUACGGUGCCAGACACUGCCUCCACUGCCAGCUGUAGCGAUUCAUGCAAGGAACCCAUGCUGUCGGGUGUGCUCGUACACACCCCUCAGAACCUGACUGCAAGUCAGGAGGGGCCACACACCGAGCUUAAGCAUAUAAAUAAGCGGAGGA
rnacentral:rRNA from 2 species